rnacentral:rRNA from 1 species
GAUGAACGCUGGCGGCGUGCCUAAUACAUGCAAGUCGAGCGAACAGACGUGGAGCUUGCUCCUCUGACGUUAGCGGCGGACGGGUGAGUAACACGUGGAUAACCUACCUAUAAGACUGGGAUAACUUCGGGAAACCGGAGCUAAUACCGGAUAAUAUAUUGAACCGCAUGGUUCAAUAGUGAAAGACGGUUUUGCUGUCACUUAUAGAUGGAUCCGCGCCGCAUUAGCUAGUUGGUAGGGUAACGGCUUACCAAGGCGACGAUGCGUAGCCGACCUGAGAGGUGGAUGGGCCACACUGAACUUGAGACACGGCCCAGACUCCUACGGGGGGAAGCAGUGGGGAAUUUUCGGCAAUGGGCGAAAGCCUGACGGAGCAACGCCGCGUGAGUGAUGAAGGUCUUCGGUUCGUAAAACUCUUUUAUUGGGAAAGAAAAAAUGGGAAAGAAACUAGGCAGGUCUGGCGGGUACCAAAUCAAAAAGCCACGGCAAACUACGG